rnacentral:lncRNA from 1 species
UUCAACUUUGGAGAUAGCAACAAGAUGGUUGAUGGUUAAAUUAACAUCACCGACGGUUUUGAGGCAAGGUGGAGAUUUAUGGAAGUGUGCCUCAAAAUCUUUAAAAUCUUUAUGAUGAAGAGAGAAGAACGAGUUGUGUGAUUGUUAGAAACCAAAGGCAUUAGAGCCGCAAAAACCAUCAACAGAAGUCAAUGACAAGGAAAAGCCGCAUAAUGGCAAUCUGGUGAGUCACUGUUGGUCAAGAGAGCCAAGGAUAAGCGAUUGAUGA